rnacentral:lncRNA from 1 species
CUCACUGGCAGGGCAGCAUGGGAAGCUGAAAGUCCAUGACUUGGUGUAUGCACUGCUCAGCAGCAGUCAAAACACUGCUGUGCUAUCAACAUUAUUUUCAUCCCAAAUUCAGAACACAGAACCACCCCAACUGCUAUAAUAACUCUGUGCUACCUGAGACCAGGACACCUCCCAACCCCUUCCCUUCUCUCCAGCCUACUUUCAGUGGGGCCAGAAAGGGAAAAAAAGAGAAGGCCUAUAUACCGUGCAAGCGCUGCUCAGCAAAAGCUGGAACACCAGUUUGUUAUCACCACUCUCUUGGCCACCAAUCUAAAGUAAAGCCCCAAAGGAGCUAUUACGAACGCCAGCGUAGCUGGACUCAGUUCAAUCUCUGCCCCUUUUUCCAUGCCAUUUACAUCAUGGUCAGUAAUGCCCCACUAUCUAAUGCCUCUUUGUCAGCCACACCUCUCAACCUCACCUUCAGCACAUCUACCCAUUCCCUGUGUAACAUCUGUAAAAUGUACAGCAAAUAUCCACUGAGUUCAUUCAGCUCUGCCUGUCCAUGCCCACCCCUGGGCCUUCCCUUGCCCAAGCCCAGGCCCCCACACCAUCCUGGGGCUGUGGUCCCUUUCCCAGCAAGACAACAGCAGGCUGGGCCCUUCACAGCCCUGCCAGGUCAGCCCUUUGCCCAGCUGAGCCCACCUGUGGCCCAAACCCAUCCCAGCUUGUGGGCCUGUCCCCCCCCAAGGAGACUCCACACCCAAGGUCUGCACCACUGUCCCUGACUGCCUUCCUGUGCUUGGGAACAUAGGAUGGGAUCAGGUUGCCAGGGCCUGCCCUGAACUCCCCAUGGGGACCCCCAACACUCUUGUCUUACAGGGUGCCCCUGGCCCAUCUUCCCAUGCUGUGUCACUGAGUGGCAGAGAACUCUUCCGUCCUUUUAAAAAAAUUGUUGUUGUUUUCAGCUUUUGUUUGUUUCUUACUUUCUGCAUCCAAGCUGUGUUUCUUGCCCAAGCGUGAACCUUAGAGAUGAAUCUUUCAAAACAACAGAACAUAAAACCAUACUUCACAGCAAAAUUGUGUUUACACUUGUGAAUGUGUUGACAGAAAGGCCAACUUUCAA